UUAUGCUCACUGUUAUUAUUAAUUGAUGUUAUAUACGUAGUUUGUUGUUGUAAUUUCUUGUUAACUUAUUAAUAUCGUUUGUUAUCAUUAUGUUACUAUUUGUGUUUGUGUUAGUUUAGUGUUCAGAGACUUUAGAGCCUGUAAUAGAAUUUCAAUUUUGCUCAAAAGGUUAAUCUUUAAUAAAAAAAAGAUGCCUGGUCUUCGAUGUGCAGUUUAUGGCUGCAAUAACAGUUUUGUUGGGGUAAAAGCCAAAGGGGAAGAUAUCAAAUUUUUCCCAUUUUCAAAAUCUAAUAAUUUAGUUUCACAAACAGUUUACAAGGAGUGAAUAAAUCGUUGCAAGAGGCAGGACAGUUUUAAUCCGAAUCAUAGCCGAAUAUGUUCUAUUCAUUUUACCAGUAAUGAUUUUGAGAGAGACCUGAAGAAUGAACUUUUAGGAUUACCUACAAAAAAAAUGUUAAAGAAAAUGGCUGUUCCCAGGAUGCAUUUGCCACUUCAGAGUAAAAAAAAGCAGUUGUGCAAGAAAUUUUAAAACAGAGCAACUUAGAAAAUAUACCUGAAACUGCAGUUCUAUAUAGUUUAGGUCAGCGGUCGGCAACUGGCGGACCAUGGUCCAGAUCCGGACCGCGGAAGAUAAAAAACUGGACUGCCAAAAAAUUUUUUAAAGUAUAAUUAGAUAUCCAAAUUAUUUAAAAACAUAUUUUUCUAUAGAUAAGAAUACGUUUGAGGGCCACCUUUAUCAUUUUUUAAUGAUUAGUAUAAAAAACUGACUCGAGACUGCAAAUGUAAUUUCUGCCAUUGAUUUUUGAAUACAAAAGCGCCUAUCUAUUGUAUUUCAUAUUAUUUUGUGAAUGCAAAUUAAAAUAAAAAAUUAGUAAGG